ACAGUACCGUGAGGGAAGUUGAAAACAACUCUGAAGAGAGGGUUAAAAGAGCGUGAAACCGGUGGGGUGGAAACGGAUGGCGCCGACGGGAAUGGCUUGCAACUCGUCGUGGGACGUAAACCGGUGCCUGCUUGCUGGUACCGUUGUCUCGCAGGGUUACCUGCAGGCGCAGUGCGCUGAGGGCUGUGAUCGUCCGGUGAGAAGUUCGGCUAAGAGCUCGGUGCCCAGCACUGUUGCUUCCCUGACUGAGCGCUGUUGUGGUUGCAGUUGAAGGGAGUUGUGUCCGGUUGACAGUGUUCGUCGGCGUUUGUUGGGGAUCGCUUGCGUGAACCUUCAUUCCCAUCGUUCGCUAUAAAGCUGGCUUUCUCCAACUCGGUGUGAGAGUCGGUCACCCAUCCGACCCGUCUUGAAACACGGACCAAGGAGUUUACCGUAUGCGCGAGUCAAUGAGUGGGCAAAACUCAGAGGCGCAGCGAAAGUGAAGUGUGCGACCUGUCUACAUAGGCAGAGCAGCACAGCCCUGCGGCGCCGCUUGCGGUGUUGUGGAGGCGGAGCGCAUGCGAUGAGACCCGAAAGAUGGUGAACUAUUCCUGAGCAGGUCGAAGGGGAGGGAAACUUUCCUGGAGGACCGAAGCGAUUCUGACGUGCAAUUCGAUCGUCUGACUUGGGUAUAGGGGCGAAAGACUAAUCGAACCAUCUAGUAGCUGGUUCCUUCGCA
rnacentral:rRNA from 2 species